rnacentral:rRNA from 1 species
UGCAGUCGGACGGUAGCACAGAGAGCUUGCUCUCGGGUGACGAGUGGCGGACSSGUGAGUAAUGUCUGGGAAACUGCCCGAUGGAGGGGGAUAACUMCUGGAAACGGUAGCUAAUACCGCAUAACGUCUUCGGACCAAAGUGGGGGACCUUCGGGCCUCACGCCAUCGGAUGUGCCCAGAUGGGAUUAGCUAGUAGGUGGGGUAAAGGCUCACCUAGGCGACGAUCUCUAGCUGGUCUGAGAGGAUGACCAGCCACACUG